CCUACGGGGGGCAGCAGUGGGGAAUAUUGGACAAUGGGGGAAACCCUGAUCCAGCGACGCCGCGUGAGUGAAGAAGUAUUUCGGUAUGUAAAGCUCUAUCAGCAGGGAAGAAAGAAAUGACGGUACCUGAGUAAGAAGCCCGGGCUAACUACGUGCCAGCAGCCGCGGUAAUACGUAGGGGGCAAGCGUUAUCCGGAAUUACUGGGUGCAAAGGGAGCGUAGACGGUAAUGCGAGUCUGGAGUGAAAGGCGGGGGCUCAACCCCCGGACUGCUCUGGAAACUGUGUAACUGGAGUGCAGGAGAGGAAGGUGGAAUUCCUAGUGUAUCGGUGAAAUGCGUAGAUAUUAGGAGGAACACCAGUGGCGAAGGCGGCCUGCUGGACUGUAACUGACGUUGAGGCUCGAAAGCGUGGGGAGCAAACAGGAUUAGAUACCCUGGUAGUC
rnacentral:rRNA from 1 species